rnacentral:rRNA from 1 species
UACGGAGGGUGCAAGCGUUGAUCGGAAUUACUGGGCGUAAAGGGCGCGUAGGCGGUUAGGUAAGUCAGAUGUGAAAUUCCGGGGCUCAACCCCGGAGCUGCAUUUGAAACUUCAUAGCUAGAGUUCAGUUAGGGUAAACGGAAUUCCACGUGUAGCGGUGAAAUGCGUAGAUAUGUGGAAGAACACCGGUGGUGAAAACGGUUUACUGGGCUGAUACUGACGCUGAGGCGCGAAAGCAUGGGGAGCAAACAGG